rnacentral:lncRNA from 1 species
UUGUAGAUUAGCUAGCUAGUUGAUUAUCUAGUUUCUCUACUGAAAAAAGUAUCAAACUUACCUCUUUAUUAUUGUCAGUCAUCGUUCAUCUUUCACCGUCCUCUUUCAUCUGUAUGGUCAAAAUGUCCCCCUGUUCUAAAAUUAUAGUAAGCGGUUGCGAGAGCAAAAUGGGUUUUGGAGAACAGACUGGAAAAUUGGUGUGAGUGGGAUGAAAAUACAUCCGUGUGUGGAAGCGGCAUAUUUGUGACAGUGCAGUCAUUUCUGAGUCUUGACAUGUAGUAAGUAUUUCUUCAGGCAAACAAAAGUCUCUGCUGUCAAAUUCAUUUAAUGCAGUUGCGCUCGCUCAAAGUCACACUUGCAAGUCCUCAAGUUUAAUUUGCGCACACCACGUUGGCCUGCGCUCUCGGAAAACGUCCUAUGCUCGCUCGACCACAUUUUCUCUCGGUAAAAGUGUUUGACUGCGCAAUGAUGUUUCAUCUUGCUUUCUCGCGCGAUGGCGCCCGUUCGACUUUUUUUAAUCGGAUUUGACGCCAUACAGUUGUAGUGGUUUCUCUGUGGUGUAUAUACAUUGGAGUUAUCCAACGUUUGCGUCAAAUUGUAUGCGUAGACUUUCCAGAAAUAGUGACAAAAGGUGAGUGUUGAACUUUUGUUGCUCACACAUCCACUAAAAUGUUGAAUUGCAUAAUGAACAAAGUUUGACUGCAGAAUUUAUUGCAGUACUGAUGCAAUGACGCUGUCGGUUGCCCGCCAUCCACCACCAACGCCCAUCCUUGCAAGGCGAUCUUGGCAAACUGUUAAGGCACUCAGCUGCCUCUGGUGGAUGAAUUGCCAUGUCGGCUCACAAUGUGUAACUCACUAGGACAGACAUCUACUUUAAUAAAGCAGUUGGUGGCUUCUGUGUUGGUUGAUUAUCUACAUGUAAAAUUUUGCAGCUGGCCCAUUUAGCGGAAAUCACAGCUGGGCAAGAAACGUCAACCUGCCUUACACUCGUCAAAGCGUGUAGAAACAAUUGCCAGAAAUUAGCAGUUAUUUCUAGUCUAAUGGGGUUUUAAGUAUGGACUUUAUGGAUGCUAAUGUUCGGUAAUGGCG